UAUUGGGUCAGGAUAGGGCAG
rnacentral:miRNA from 1 species